UUUCCCCCUAACCCUUCACAACCAGAGCCCGCUGCACUGUGCGCUAAGUGACGGAAUAGCUCUUUGCAGUCGAUUGCGUGAUGGGGUAGUCCAUACCCCUUCAAUUUGUUACAGGAGUAAUGCUGCAUGCGCCAUACUUUUUAAUAGUUCAAUCUUGUGUUUCAGCUGUUGACUUAUUUCUCCACAUGUUUGAUGUUUGCUUUUACAUUGCACACACAGAAAAUGACAAAAAGUGCCCGGAGUGCCAGGGCCAAUAUGCCAAAUUGUCCGGGCACUAAAGAAAUGUGCAUGGUGUCACGGACUGGGAGGAGAGGAGGCUGAUGCUAGGCCUGGCAUCCGGAAGAUAUGGAGGCCGACUGAGCUGCCCAGACGUGAAGUGCCACGGUUUGACAUUCUCGCGGUUGGACUGCCACCUGGUCAACAUGCACAACAUGGCAAAGAAGGCGAGGACAUUUAUUGCUGAGCCAGCGAAAGGUUGCAGUGAAUGAAAGGCUUCUAAAAAUCAAAAAUGAAAAAAAAGAAAUACAGCUGAUUCAGCAAUCGCUGCUGUCCGUUGGUGAGGAACUCCAUGAAGCUGGGAAAGAGGAGGCAGGUCCUUCUGUCCGUGGAGAAGCUGCCUCUGUAGCUACACCACAACCACCUCAGCCUCAGGUAGCCGGGUCACCACCGACUGCUGGCUCUCCCUCACCUGCUGGCUGUCCGCCACCAUUGUGUCCU